rnacentral:rRNA from 1 species
GAGGAAAGAGGGAGGAGGGAGGAACACAUGCAAGUCGAACGGAAAGGCCCUGCUUUUGUGGGGUGCUCGAGUGGCGAACGGGUGAGUAACACGUGAGUAACCUGCCCUUGACUUUGGGAUAACUUCAGGAAACUGGGGCUAAUACCGGAUAGGAGCUCCUGCUGCAUGGUGGGGGUUGGAAAGUUUCGGCGGUUGGGGAUGGACUCGCGGCUUAUCAGCUUGUUGGUGGGGUAGUGGCUUACCAAGGCUUUGACGGGUAGCCGGCCUGAGAGGGUGACCGGCCACAUUGGGACUGAGAUACGGCCCAGACUCCUACGGGAGGCAGCAGUGGGGAAUAUUGCACAAUGGGCGGAAGCCUGAUGCAGCAACGCCGCGUGCGGGAUGACGGCCUUCGGGUUGUAAACCGCUUUCGCCUGUGACGAAGCGUGAGUGACGGUAAUGGGUAAAGAAGCACCGGCUAACUACGUG